rnacentral:rRNA from 1 species
CAAGUCGAGCGAACGUAUUAAGAGCUUGCUCCUCCGAAUUUCGGCGGAGGGUGAGUGUACGUGUGUGACCUGUGCCCUCGAUUGGGAUAACUCCAGGAAACCGGGGCUCAUACCGGAGAAAAUUUUUUUCCCCACGGUGCGAAAUUGAGAGGCAGCUUCCGCUGUCUCUUUUGGAUGGGCCCCCGCCGCACUAUCUAUUUUGUGAGGUAACGGCUCACCCCGGCGACAAUACGCAUCCCACCUGAGAGGGGGAUCGGCCCCACUGGGACUGAGACACGGCCCCCACACCCACAGGAGGCGCCACUAUGGAAUCUUCCCCAAUGGGCGAAAGUCUGAGAGAGCACCGCCCCGCGAGUGAGAAAAGCUUUCUGGUCUCAAAACUCUCUUGUGACGGAAAAAAACGUGCUCUAUAAAAAGUGUGGAAACUGUGAGGGUCCUAGACAAAAAACCCCGGGCAAUUUCCGUCCCCCCCCCCGGGGAAAUCCUUGGGGGGAAAGCUUUUCCGGAAUUUAUGGGGCUAAAAGCGCGCCCGGGGGUUUCUUAAUCUCGAGUGUAAACCCCACGCGCUCACCUUGGAGUCUCAUUGGAAACUGGGAGACUUGAGUGCAGAAGAGGAGAGUGGAAUUCCAUGUGUAGCGGUGAAAUGCGUAGAUAUGUGGAGGAACACCAGUGGCGAAGGCGACUUUCUGGUCUGUAACUGACACUGAGGCGCGAAAGCGUGGGGAGCAAACAGGAUUAGAUACCCUGGUAGUCCACGCCGUACACGAUGAGUGCUAGUUGUUAGAGGGUUUCCAGCACCCUUUAGUGCUGAAGUUAACACAUUAAGCACUCCUGCCUGGGGGAGUACGGCCCGCAAGACUGAAACUCAAAGGAAUUGACGGGGACCCGCACAAGCAGGUGGAGCUAUGUGGUUUAUUCGAA